ACAUCCAGAGAACUUUCCAGAGAUGGAUUGGUGCCUUCGGGAACUCUGAGACAGGUGCUGCAUGGCUGUCGUCAGCCCGUGUUGUGAAAUGUUGGGUUAAGUCCCGCAACGAGCGCAACCCUUAUCCUUUGUUGCCAGCGGUCCGGCCGGGAACUCAAAGGAGACUGCCAGUGAUAAACUGGAGGAAGGUGGGGAUGACGUCAAGUCAUCAUGGCCCUUACGAGUAGGGCUACACACGUGCUACAAUGGCGCAUACAAAGAGAAGCGACCUCGCGAGAGCAAGCGGACCUCAUAAAGUGCGUCGUAGUCCGGAUUGGAGUCUGCAACUCGACUCCAUGAAGUCGGAAUCGCUAGUAAUCGUAGAUCAGAAUGCUACGGUGAAUACGUUCCCGGGCCUUGUACACACCGCCCGUCACACCAUGGGAGUGGGUUGCAAAAGAAGUAGGUAGCUUAACCUUCGGGAGGGCGCUUACCACUUUGUGAUUCAUGACUGGGGUGAAGUCGUAACAAGGUAGGCGUAGUGCU
rnacentral:rRNA from 1 species